UCAAGAUGAGGCAGCAGGACGACAGACGGGUAGGUCCUUCUCAAAAAAUGGUGCAGCUCUUAGAAUAGGAUUGCUCUCGAAGAAAUUGACAGGCUUUAAAUCAAAGCUCGAUGACACAAUUGGCAUUACAGGGAAAUCCUCCUGGCACGGAAUGUGAUGGAAUCCCAUGGUGUACCAUAACACAAUGUCUUUAUUCUCAAUAUUUCGAUUCCUCUGAGACCACACAGCAAUUGUGUCAUCUCCCUUGCUUUGGUACACUAGAAGUCCACCAGCCCAUUGUUCGGUUCGGUUAUAGGGGGUCACCCAUAUCUGAUUGUUUGUGAAAGCACUUCUUUUUUGUGGAGGAUCGAGGUGAUCAAGCAAGCUAGCUGCAGUCGCACCGGGAACAAUCUUAUACCCUGCAGGAUUUCCCAACCUAGACCGCCUUGAAGGGUUGAUUACAUGAAACUCUGAAGGGUCAUAGAGCUUAAGCUUAAUUCUUGCAUCUUCCUCUGUUUUAGCUGUCUCUCUCUUUGCUUUUAAGUAGCUUUUUCUGGGUGAUUCACCUGGCAAAGUCUCUUCCUUAACUAAAUGAACCUUAACAAGUGUGUUAUUAGUGUCAUCAAUAUCCAUGUCCAGGUGGUAAGUGAUGAAAUGAUCGUGAACAACACCGAUAACGUUUUCAGAGACUAAAGGGCUCGACAUUUCUUCUUGGUUGGGUAU
rnacentral:misc_RNA from 1 species